rnacentral:rRNA from 1 species
UACGUAGGGUGCGAGCGUUGUCCGGAAUUACUGGGCGUAAAGAGCUCGUAGGUGGUUUGUCGCGUUGUUCGUGAAAACCGGGGGCUUAACCCUCGGCGUGCGGGCGAUACGGGCAGACUUGAGUACUGCAGGGGAGACUGGAAUUCCUGGUGUAGCGGUGGAAUGCGCAGAUAUCAGGAGGAACACCGGUGGCGAAGGCGGAUCUCUGGGCCGAUACUGACGCUGAGGAGCGAAAGCGUGGGGAGCGAACAGG